CGCGUAGGCGGGGUCGUAGGUCGGUCGUGAAAUCCACCGGCUCAACCGGUGAACUGCGGUCGAAACUGCGACUCUUGAGGUAGGUAGAGGAAGGCGGAAUUCCUGGUGUAGCGGUGGAAUGCGUAGAUAUCAGGAAGAACACCGGUAGCGAAGGCGGCCUUCUGGGCCUCACCUGACGCUGAGGCGCGAAAGCUGGGGGAGCGAACA
rnacentral:rRNA from 1 species